UGGAGGAAUGGUGGUAAUAUGAGUAAUCAGAUGAGCCUACAGAAUGGAAAAGAGAUGCAGGAAAAUGAGUAGGAUCAUUGGUCAUAGCAAAAGGAAAAAUUGUCUCAUGAAAGAUAACAUCCCUGGAAAUAUGAAUUUUCUUAGUGGUUAGAUUUAGCACUUUAUAUCCCUUUGUACACGAUGGAUAUCCAAUAAAGAUAUGUGGAACAGCUUUGGGAUCAAACUUGG
rnacentral:lncRNA from 1 species